rnacentral:rRNA from 1 species
AUUGAACGCUGGCGGCAGGCCUAACACAUGCAAGUCGAGCGGAAGAAGGGAGCUUGCGCCUGGAUUCAGCGGCGGACGGGUGAGUAAUGCCUAGGAAUCUGCCUGGCAGUGGGGGAUAACGUCCGGAAACGGGCGCUAAUACCGCAUACGUCCUGAGGGAGAAAGUGGGGGUUCUUCGGACCUCACGCUAUCAGAUGAGCCUAGUUCGGAUUAGCUAGUUGGUGGGGUAAAGGCCUACCAAGCCGACGAUCCGUAACUGGCCUGAGAGGAUGGUCGGUCACACUGGAGCUUGGACACGGUCCAUACGCCUACGGGAGGCAGCAGUGGGGAAUGUUGGACAAUGGGCGAAAGCAUGACCCAGCCAUGCCGCGUGUGUGAAGAAGGUCUUCGGAUUGUAAAGCACGUUAAGUUGGGAGGAAGGGCUGUAAGUUAAUACCUUGCUGUUUUGACGGUACCAACAGAAUAAGCACCGGCUAACUACGUG